AUUGAACGCUGGCGGCAGGCCUAACACAUGCAAGUCGAGCGAGCGGCGGACGGGUGAGCAAUGUAUGGGGACUGCCCGAUAGAGGGGGAUAAGUACUGGAAACGGUGGCUAAUACCGCAUACUACAGGUUAACCCAUAUGGGAUUAGCUCGUAGGUGGGGUAAAGGCUGACGAAGGCGACGAUCUCUAGCUGGUCUGAGAGGAGGAGCAGACACACUGGGACUGAGACACGGCCCAGACUCCUACGGAGGCAGCAGUGGGGAAUAUUGCACAAUGGACGCAAGCCUGAUGCAGCAAUGCCGCGUGUAUGAAGAAGGCCUUAGGGUGGUAAAAUACUGUCGGCAGGGAGGCGUUACCCGCAGAAGAAGCAACGGCUAACUCCGUGCCAGCAGCCGCGGUAAUAC
rnacentral:rRNA from 1 species